rnacentral:misc_RNA from 1 species
UGUUUGGAGAUCCAUUUAGUCAGGAACUCCGAAAAAGAAAAAAAGUUGUGAACUACGUCGGGAGCAGGAAUGUCUCAAACGACGUAGUAAUCAUGAACAAAGGGUGGCUGGAACUAGAAAGUGAUCCUGGACUGUUCACACUGUUGGUUGAAGAUUUUGGAGUCCAAAGUGUUCAGGUGGAAGAGAUCUACGACUUGCAGAAAACCAUUGAUGGACCUGUUUAUGGAUUUAUCUUUCUGUUCCGUUGGAUUGAGGAACGUCGAUCACGACGGAAGACUGUCACAGAGGAAGAAAGCUUUCUUCAGGAUGAAAAUGUUGUCAACAGCAUAUUUUUUGCCCAGCAGGUGAUUCCCAACUCCUGUGCUACCCAUGCCCUGCUCAGCGUCCUGCUGAACAAUGACAGGGUCAAGCUCGGCUCAACUCUGUCAAAAUUAAAGGAUUUUUCGAAAAACAUGAGCCCUGAGGACAAGGGGUUUGCAAUCGGUAAUAUGCCUGAACUAGCCAGUGCCCACAACAGACAUGCCAGACCAGAGCCCCGACAUCUACCGGAGAAACAGCAGGGAAUUUCUACGACAAAAACGAUGGAAGCUUUCCACUUUGUUAGUUAUGUACCUAUUGGGGGUCAUCUGUUUGAGCUGGACGGUCUGAAGCCUCACCCAAUAGAUCAUGGUCCAUGGCGUAAGGACGAGUACUGGACUGAGAAAUUCCGUAGGGUGAUAACAGAACGUCUAGGGAUGGCCACUGGAGGAGAGCCGUACCAUGACAUCCGCUUUAACCUGAUGGCGGUCGUACCAGACAAAAGACAGCUUUACGAACAGAAGCUGACCACCCUGAAGACUAACAGACAGAUUGUACUAGAGACAUUACAACAGUGUAAUGUCACGGAGACAGACUCUGGGCUCCUGGACUCGAAGAUGGUUAAGGUUACUACACCAGGGCUGUCUGCAGCUGAGAAAGAGAAAUAUAUGGUAGCGGUCAAGAAGCACGGUCAGCUCCCAGAUGUUAUUGUAACAAGGGAGACAACUUCUACAACCUUUACUAUAGACACUAACAGUGCUACCAAGACAACAGUGGUGAAGGCAUGUCCCAAACAGGAGAGUAAUGUAGGGGAUAAUGUGGAGGACACUAGUGCUAGUGAGAGAGUGACCACCACAGACAUAGAGGGGGGGAAAUGUGAUACACCUGCUGCUACAGACUCCGAACCUUCUAGAGACGUCACUACACCUCUCACCAUAGAGACCCAACUAAGUGGGUCCUCGCCGGGGCCAAGCAGUGAGAGUACCGACACCGCUUCAGAGGCUGGAAGCUGCUUCAGUUCUCCAAACAGUACUCUGUCCUCCUGUAAUAGUCCUCGGCUGGCUGGAGAGACAUCCCCAGGAGGGACAAAGCGAGAAGGAGAGUCCAGUCACGGCCGACACAAACAUCGGUUCAGCAGUAACCAGGCGUUUACACCAAAGGAUCUUUUGGCUUUGCUGAAAAAUGUAGAAAAUGAAAUCGCUCUGUGUGAGACUAAUCUAAAGGAUGAGAUUGAAAAGAAAAGAAAAUACCAGAUUGACGACUGUCGACGAACACACAACUAUGACCAGUUCAUCUGUACAUUCCUGUCAAUGCUGGCCAAGGAAGGUCACCUUGCUGACCUUGUCCAACAACAAGUUUUGGCCAAUAAGCGACACGGCAGCGUCAGCUCCGGACGAAUCACCAAAGUGUCUUUAAAUGAUCGUCGCAAACGGGCACGACCAAAAAAACGACGGUGAAAUUAUUAUCAGUGAACUUGUCAAUAUGUCUAAUGUAUGUGAAGAAAACCUGUCAUUUGACUCCAAGAGUAACACAAUCUUAGGCUUGAGCUUCAUAUUGUUUUAAUUAUACAUAAAACAUGUUAAUUUUGAAUUGAUGUCUUUUGCGUUGUGAGUGUUACACCUGGUGUGUAACCUGGCUAUUGUGACAAAAAUUGAUACUGAUAUGCAGAUUUUUUGUUGACAGCAUUUUUCGUAUUGUAAAGCAUUAGUUUAUGUUGUUUAGCAUUCCAAGGUAUUGGCUUUAUACUCAAUACUCAACAAUAUCUAAUUCAGCAUCUCACAAACAAGUCAACACUUACUGGACAUAGCAUUGGAGUUCAAGCAUCCAUCCAUGAUCAGUUAGUUGUCUUCUGUUUUGAAUUGGACAAGGAAGCUGAGCAGAAUUUGUAUAAUAUUGGUAUUUAAAAGUUUUAACACAUGAUGCAGGCAUUGUGACAGAAGUUUCGUCCAAUUUAAUAAGGGUGAUUGAGGGAUGAGUUGAAGGAAGCUGAGAGAAAUCUGUUGAAUAAAAUGUUACAUUCUAGGUAUGUAGAUAUACAUUCUAGGUAUGUAGAUAUACAUUCUAGGUAUGUAGAUAGGAGUGUGUGUGCAUGGUCCAAGUGAGUAUACUCGUGAGCUUUUCUAGAAUGUUAGGAGGAAGAUUGUAUAACAGGGUGAAAGUUAAACUGCUAUUUUGGCAGUAAUUGAAAGUGGAGAAUACUUUUGUCAGUUAAAAAGUGUUAUUGUAAUACAAAUGUACAGGUAAUAAGAAAAGUUGAAAGAUUCGAGGGGAGAAAUCGAUUUGCAUGUUGAGAGAGUAAAACAGGAAGUUUUGUAGGUGCUAAUUGUGCAGUGUAUCAGAAAUAUGCAAGAUUGAUACAUGCAUUUAUAUACUGUAUUUGACCUAAUAAACCCCCAAUUUUUUUAGAAGUGCUCUAUAUCCUUUUACUGGAUGGAGCAUUUGAUGCCUUCAUCAUAAUUUACCAACUCUCUUUAAAGAUGUGUCAAUUUUGACCAUUUUUUAAAAAAACUUUUUCCCAAUUUACUAAUCCAAGGACAGUUAUUAGGUCGAAGCGGUAAUAAAUGUGGAAAGUUUUCAAGUAUAAAGUAUUCUCGAGUCUCUUUGUAAUAUUAUCACUUUAUCAAUUGGUAUCUCAUGUUCUGGAUAACCACAAAUGUGUUCUGUUUCUACUUUGCAAGCUAUGACAUUAUAGAUUGCUCUUGAUGCAUUUAGUCAACAUUGAGCUGAGGAUUUGAUGAAAUACAAUGUAAAAUACAAUCGA